UGAGGAAUCUUGCGCAAUGGGGGAAACCCUGACGCAGCAACGCCGCGUGAGUGAGGAAGGUCUUCGGAUCGUAAAGCUCUGUCAGUUGGAAAGAAAUGUCUGAGAGUCAAUACCUUUCAGGCUUGACGGUACCAACAGAGGAAGCACCGGCUAACUCCGUGCCAGCAGCCGCGGUAAUACGGGGGGUGCAAGCGUUGUUCGGAAUUAUUGGGCGUAAAGAGCGUGUAGGCGGCCGGAUAUGUCAGAUGUGAAAGCCCCGGGCUUAACCCGGGAAGGGCGUGUGAAACUGUCCGGGUGGAGUAGGGGAGGGGGAAGUGGAAUUCCUGGUGUAGAGGUGAAAUUCGUAGAUGUCAGGAGGAACACCGGUGGGGAAGGCGACUUCCUGGCCCUAUACUGAAGCUGAGACGCGAGAGCGUGGGUAG
rnacentral:rRNA from 1 species